rnacentral:misc_RNA from 1 species
GAUGAAGAACGUAGCGAAAUGCGAUAAGUAAUGUGAAUUGCAGAAUUCAGUGAAUCAUCGAAUCUUUGAACGCACAUUGCGCCCCUUGGUAUUCCGAGGGGCAUGCCUGUUCGUGCGUCAUUAUCACCCCUCAAGCUCAGCUUGGUGUUGGGGCCGGCCCGUCACUGGGCCGCCCCUAAAAGCAGUGGCGGUGCCAUCUGGCUCUACGCGUAGUAAUACUCCUCGCGACAGAGUCCCGGUGGUGUCCUGCCAGAACCCCCCAUCUUUUUAAUGAUUGACCUCGGAUCAGGUAGGGAUACCCGCUGAACUUAAGCAUAUCAAUAAGCGGAGGA